rnacentral:tRNA from 1 species
GUUUUUAUAGUGUAACCCGCACGUAGUCCUUUCAAGACUAAGCCAACCAAUAAUUUAAAAACA